rnacentral:rRNA from 1 species
UGCCAGACUCCUACGGGAGGCAGCAGUGGGGGAUAUUGCACAAUGGGGGGAACCCUGAUGCAGCGACGCCGCGUGAGGGAAGACGGCCUUCGGGUUGUAAACCUCUGUCGCAGGGGACGAAGGAGAUGACGGUACCCUGUGAGGAAGCCACGGCUAACUACGUGCCAGCAGCCGCGGUAAUACGUAGGGGGCAAGCGUUAUCCGGAUUUACUGGGUGUAAAGGGGGCGCAGACGGCGAUGCAAGCCAGGAGUGAAAGCCCGGGGCCCAACCCCGGGACUGCUCUUGGAACUGCGUGGCUGGAGUGCAGGAGGGGCAGGCGGAAUUCCUGGUGUAGCGGUGAAAUGCGUAGAUAUCAGGAGGAACACCGGUGGCGAAGGCGGCCUGCUGGACUGCAACUGACGUUGAGGCCCGAAAGCGUGGGGAGCAAACAGGAUUAGAUACCCGGGUAUGA